rnacentral:misc_RNA from 1 species
GUCGUUACUACCAGCCAUUGCAAUGAACCCUCCGAACAAUACAGCUCGCCCAAUCUCCUCAAGGAGGACCUCAUCAUGCCCCUUCAACGCUAUUCUUUUCUCUGUAGUUGCCCCCGUUUUAGCUGCUCUACUCCUUUUCCACCUCGACUCCUUCGACCCAGCUCCUUUCCCUUACCACGAGUUGACUCACCCACUGCCAGAGCCUUCGUUGAAGAAUGGUCGCCUUCUUCAAGGAGCAGAAUUUCUUGGCGUCGGGGAGUUGCCGGGAGCAGAAGAUAUUGCGUAUGACAGCAAAUCGGGAGUCAUUUACACAACUUGUGAAGAUGGGUGGAUAAAGCGAG